AGAAGCAGUGCACCUCUCCAGCACCGAAAGAGUGCGGUCGGGACCGAGAUUGAUAGAAACGGAGACGGGGUGCGAACGCGGGCAGCGAUCAUGUUCCGUCGCUCCUCGUCUGUGAUGCGGCGCGCUGUCAGCGCUUUCCUCAAGGAGCCUGGACAGGCCAAGACCUUCCAGGAGACAUUGGCGGCCUGCAAAGCCGAGAACAGGGACUUGGCUAGCAUGCUUAGCUCUGAUUUCCUGCUACUGCAAUCAAAGCUGUUCAAGUAUCGCAUAGCCCGCCUCGGGGAGGAGACUCGGUAUGUGAUGAAGCACCCUCUCGGCUGCCUCCCUUCCGCAGACAUGGUGCUUGUCCACUUCGUCGCCGUACCUCUUGUCUUCUUCGCCGCUGUGUGCAUUGGCCGUGGUUCUAGUCGCCCUCUCGUGCAGCCCCCGACUGCGAAGAUGGAGGUGGCCGCGGCAGCCGCAGCUACCGCCGAUGCAGCUGAAGAGGAGCAGAAGUAGCCUCCGCAAGCCAACAGCGAUCUUUUUUGCCACGAUGGUGCCCCAGAGAGCGUCUUGUUCACGGACUGCCCAUAAGCGAAUACAGGGGUGCUUCCCCUUUCCCUUUCCCAUUUCAGCUCUACCACCUCACCUCGAGCUUCGCUACCUCUUGUCUCUCUUGGUGAGCACGCAGCCGGUGCGCAGCGGGGACGCUGUGUCGAAUUUGGCGAGUGGUCGUCGCCGGCAACGGCAGGAAGUCAGUGGGCUUUCGUCCAUUUCUUUGUAGGGAAUAGAGCUCCUUAUGUAGCCCAAAGACGAAAAAGGCGGAGAGAGAGUGGCCGCGUAGCAAAACAAACACAAAGGCGAUCCACUUAACGGCUAUUACGAAACACGAAAAAAAAAACGAGAAGGAACCCAACCACGGGAGUGCAGCGACAGGGGGCAGAGGCGCACUUCCCCCAUCUGCCACCGGUUUCGGCUUCGUGAUACACGAAGAGAGGGACGCAAUGAUCUCAUCAUCGUUUCUGCUUUUUUUUCGGAAGAUGGGCGGAGAAGAAGUCCCUGACCCUUUUGCGUUGAUCCUUAUAGUUCGGAUCCACUGCUUCCCGAUGCCUGUCAUCCAUUCAAAGCGCCGACGGUGCCGGGGAGAGGGGGGCGGCGGGGAACACGAUGGACGCUGCGCUGGUGUGGAUGGGUGGGUAGCUGCGCGUGCUUAGGGGUAGGAGCUGGCCAUGGUGCCCAUGGCUGAGGCGAUCUUGUAUUUCUCUCCGUAUCACUGGUGUGCUCUUGCUCUGCUGUUGUUUUCUCACUCAUAUUCUGUGAUCGGUUCGCCUCCUUUGGGGGAGCAUGGAUCGAGCACUCGCCCGAAUCGCUUUACCGUGCAUCUCACCGAUCAAUGAAG
rnacentral:misc_RNA from 1 species